CAUAACAUCUGACGAUCCUGUGUUGCCUUAGAAACCAAGCAUGGGUGUGGCCUGAAUCCUCCAAUGGCGACCCAUCCUUGGUUUCUGAGGCUGUACAGAAAGACACACUGGCAGAUC
rnacentral:pre_miRNA from 8 species